GAUGAAGAACGGAGCGAAAUGCGAUAAGUAAUGUGAAUUGCAGAAUUCAGUGAAUCAUCGAGUCUUUGAACGCACAUUGCGCCCCCUGGUAUUCCGGGGGGCAUGCCUGUCCGAGCGUCAUUGCCGCCCUCAAGCACGGCUUGUGUGUUGGGCCCCCGCCCCCCGGCUUCGGGGGGCGGGCCCGAAAGGCAGCGGCGGCACCGCGUCCGGUCCUCGAGCGUAUGGGGCUUCGUCACCCGCUCUGUAGGCCCGGCCGGCGCCCGCCGGCGACCCCAAUCAAUCUUUCCAGGUUGACCUCGGAUCAGGCAGGGAUACCCGCUGAACUUAAGCAUAUCAAUAAGCGGAGGA
rnacentral:misc_RNA from 1 species